rnacentral:lncRNA from 1 species
GGGAGGAAAUUUUUGAUUUACUUUUGUACCCACAUGCACCUGAGCGUCACACGCAGUAUUCCUGAAAUAGACACGCAGCGGAGCCUAUGAUUCCUGAAGUAACAGCUCUGGUCACUGAGCAUCUAAAUCCUAGAUCAAGAACUUGCCUUGAACAAAUACAGUUUUGGAGGUGUGUAAAGAACAGUGGGGACAACAAGGCUUGCUUCUCCUAAAAGACCUCAGACCUGCUCAUGAUCCAGCCACUGUCAGCUCUGGAGGAGCCAGCCCAGACUAGAGCCAAUGUCAGUUUUGUCCAGUGCUCUUCAGCUUGGUAAAUAUCUUCAAUAUCAUCCCUGCUAAGACACAGUCUGCAAUAAGUGCUGAGCGCUCCCUUUCCUUGGCCUUCCAUUUUCUGAGUCAUUCUGAGUAUCUGCCAUUAGUUAACCUACGUGAUUGCUGGCUGCAUGACCCCUUCCCUCUUUACGCUCAAACAAAUCAAGGGAUGGAUGAGUUUUGAAUGUCCAGCCUGUGGCAGUUGCUCAAUAAAUGUUUGUUGAGUUGAAUUCAGCUAGAAUGUUCCAUUUUCAUGACAAAGCAUCCCAGGGUGAUUACUGCAGCUGUGGAAGCCUUCUGAAAAAUUGAAUCCUUUGGGCUCCUUAGGAGCUCCUGAGGAGGAACAAAGGAACUGAAUGUAGUAAUGCAUUCAGGCCAAGGAAUCAAUCAGAGACUGGCUGAGUAUGCCUAACCGAAAGUUGAUGAGAGUCUGAAGGACCCUCGUCCACACUUGGAAUAUUUUUUGCUGGCUCAUUUAUAGCAAAUCUUUGGCACCAGACCGUACAAUGUGUACCUACAGUUCACACAUUUAAAUACGCUUCAGCAGCUACCGAGCAGCGUUUUUAAAAAGCAGAAAGGAAACUUGAUAAUUAAAGAUGUAUAAGACAAUCUAGGAAAUCAACAUGGAAAGGCCAUCAGUGGUUCUGAAAAUUGAACACCAUGUAUAAAUGCUGUAUCUUGGAAGGUCCCAUCAAGUCCAAUAGCAGCAGGACUGAGAUCCAAGCCUUCAUUUUGAGUCUUUUGAAGAAAGCCACUAUCCAUAUUGUUGCAAACAGUGAUGCUAUAACAUGGCCCAGGGAAACAAGGAAUGCCUGAGUGACAUGCUAAUCCUGUAGGGUUGUCCAAGGAACUUAUUAAUCAAAUAAAGCUUAUUACUAAAG